rnacentral:rRNA from 1 species
UACAGAGGGGGCCAGCGUUAUUCGGAAUUAUUGGGCGUAAAGGGCGCGUAGGCGGCCAUGCGUGUCUUCCGUGAAAUCCCUCGGCUUAACCGAGGACGUGCGGAAGAAACUGCAAGGCUCGAGUCCGGAAGAGGGGGGCGGAAUUCCCAGUGUAGCGGUGAAAUGCGUAGAUAUUGGGAGGAACACCAGUGGCGAAGGCGGUCCCCUGGGCCAGAACUGACGCUGAGGCGCGAAAGCGUGGGGAGCAAGCAGG